CGCCAGUUCUGCUUACCAAAAUUGGCCCACUAGGCACUCUUUUUCUAAGAAUCUUUUAGCUUCAUUCAAGAAAGCCAAAGUUCUCACCCAUUUAAAGUUUGAGAAUAGGUUAAAAUCAUUUCGACCCUAAGGCCUCUAAUCAUUCGCUUUACCGGAUGAAAGAAUCCGAGUGCCAGCUAUCCUGAGGGAAACUUCGGAGGGAACCAGCUACUAGAUGGUUCGAUUAGUCUUUCGCCCCUAUACCCAGCUCUGACGAUCGAUUUGCACGUCAGAAUCGCUACGGGCUUCCAUCAGGGUUUCCCCUGACUUCACCCUGGCCAGGCAUAGUUCACCAUCUUUCGGGUACCAACAUGUGCGCUCAAGGUGCUGCUCUCCUCAAGAGGAUGAGCAGCCCCGGGGUUGCGGGAAGGCAUGGUUAGCACGACCAUCACCCCUAGGAAGAGUAAACUCGACCUUUACUUUCAUUUCGCCUUUAGGUUUCGAGAGCCCAAUGACUCGCGUACAUGCUAGACUCCUUGGUCCGUGUUUCAAGACGGGACGGUCAGGUAGCGAAAGCAGAAGCGCCGCGGACCGGCGAGGCCAUGAGCACUUAAGCUCCUCCCUUUGGCGGAAAGGCCUCGCCCGUAUAACACCGUCGGGCACCGCUCAGGUCACCGGGGGUCUUCGCAAAAGCGAGUGCUCCACCUCGGGCCCUAGAGCGGCGACCCAACGAGUCGCGACGUGCUACUAAGCAGAAGUGCGGUUACAGCUGUUGAACCGUCCCCGAAUCGGGGCAGCGCGGAGGCUCCGGGAAGGGGUCCCGGUCCGCACUGUCCCCUCUCCAGUGAGGUAUCGCAGUGUAGUUGAGUCAACUCCGUUCGCACUUUUCGCAUCUGACCGCUUUACAUCAGCUCAGUUUCACGUACUCUUGAACUCUCUCUUCAAAGUUCUUUUCACCUUUCCCUCACGGUACUUGUGUGCUAUCGGUCUCGUGGUCAUAUUUAGCCUUAGAUGGAGUUUACCACCCUCUUAGGUCUGCAUUUUCAAGCAAACCGACUCUGAGGAGAUGCCCACACGCUUCGUACCAGCUGCUACACGGGCAUGUCACCCUCUGUGUGGCCCCGUUCAAGUUGGACUUAAGCGAGCGAUACUCAUGCGUGUUGACGGACACUCCUUAACGCUACAUUUCCCGCACGACGUAAGCCGAGGGGAUUCAGCGCUGGGCUUCUCCAUGUUCCCUCGCCGGUACUAAUGGAAUCCUUUUUAGUUUCUUUUCCUCCCCGUAUUAAUAUGCUUAAAUCUCGGGGGUAGUCUCUCCUGAACUGAGGUCGGAUUACAAAAUGCAUUCGAAUCGUUUAUAUUCAGUGAUGCAGCACAACACAUUCCACUCAGGCGCACGCUAAAUGCACGAGCUUCGAGUCCUGUACUGCACCCGUUCGCUGGGGUCUUCACGCCCAACUACUUGUUUUCAACUGAACUUUUGAUUGUAGAAUGCGUGAGGCAAAGAGACGUACUCUCAAGUUUGCGUGCUUUUUCGUGUCGAACCGACCAAGUCCAUCAGGGUUCAUCUUGCGACGAACUGAUUUCCUUAUAAUCAGUAAGACUGAGAGAAGCCUCUGCCUCAAGGCAUUUAAGGGAACUACUCCGCAAAGGGAGCAGAACCCCAAGCUCGCCCGCUCCAACACACACGAGGUGUGUGCUGUCGCUUGGGCAGUCUGGUAAUCGUUUCUUUAAACCGACCCUCAGCCAGGAGUGGCCCAAGGUGCAAAGACCGAGGGCCGCCAUUUGCGUUCAAAGUGUCGAUGUUCAUGUGUCCUGCAGUUCACACGACAACACGGAGUUUGCUCCGUUCUUCAUCGACCCACGAGCCGAGGGAUCCACUGAGCUGAUUUGUAUGGGUUAACCUACUGUCCGUGUUAAGACCCUGAUUUCUCACAAGUCCACGUGCAGCGGUAGUUUUUAGGCUUUCAUCCGAGUGGGUUCAGACUUCAAUAGUACUGAGAUGGUCCUCACGAGGUGCCACGCUCGCUGACCCAGGCCCUUAAUCCAGGACAACUACCCCGUAAAGGAGCAGAAGACCCAGGCCCGUGAAACUGGUCGCCAAAUUCAGAAGAGACCGUCUAGGCGGCAGAAGCCAGCCCGCAUCGCGCUAAAGGGCGAACCUCUCGAGAGACUUUCGUAAGCUUUUCUACGCGUAUUGAAAGUACAUCUAAAGAGUAUAGUCUCUUCGAAAACGCCAAACUCUCCGUCCAAAGACAAAGAGUAAGGCGCCCCGUCUCGGCUGCCACGAUCGACGGUGCGGUCCCUGCAGUGUGCCAACAAGGCAAUGUUUGCAGACAGUCCGCACGCUCAAAUCGAAAGGGAGCGAGACGAGUUGGUCUUACGUGCACGGCGCAAAAGCUUUAAAAACAUCGUGAUUCGUCGACAAGCAGAAGCGACCUCGGCCGGCAAAGGAGACUGGCAGUCCCAGGCCUCGGUCGAAACGCAAAAGAAGACGACACGUUUACUUCUCGUUUACCGU
rnacentral:lncRNA from 1 species